rnacentral:rRNA from 1 species
AACACUUGGAAACAGGUGCUAAUACCGUAUAACACUAUUUUCCGCAUGGAAGAAAGUUGAAAGGCGCUUUUGCGUCACUGAUGGAUGGACCCGCGGUGCAUUAGCUAGUUGGUGAGGUAACGGCUCACCAAGGCAACGAUGCAUAGCCGACCUGAGAGGGUGAUCGGCCACACUGGGACUGAGACACGGCCCAGACUCCUACGGGAGGCAGCAGUAGGGAAUCUUCGGCAAUGGACGAAAGUCUGACCGAGCAACGCCGCGUGAGUGAAGAAGGUUUUCGGAUCGUAAAACUCUGUUGUUAGAGAAGAACAAGGAUGAGAGUAAAACGUUCAUCCCUUGACGGUAUCUAACCAGAAAGCCACGGCUAACUACGUGCCAGCAGCCGCGGUAAUACGUAGGUGGCAAGCGUUGUCCGGAUUUAUUGGGCGUAAAGCGAGCGCAGGCGGUUUCUUAAGUCUGAUGUGAAAGCCCCCGGCUCAACCGGGGAGGGUCAUUGGAAACUGGGAGACUUGAGUGCAGAAGAGGAGAGUGGAAUUCCAUGUGUAGCGGUGAAAUGCGUAGAUAUAUGGAGGAACACCAGUGGCGAAGGCGGCUCUCUGGUCUGUAACUGACGCUGAGGCUCGAAAGCGUGGGGAGCGAACAGGAUUAGAUACCCUGGUAGUCCACGCCGUAAACGAUGAGUGCUAAGUGUUGGAGGGUUUCCGCCCUUCAGUGCUGCAGCAAACGCAUUAAGCACUCCGCCUGGGGAGUACGACCGCAAGGUUGAAACUCAAAGGAAUUGACGGGGGCCCGCACAAGCGGUGGAGCAUGUGGUUUAAUUCGAAGCAACGCGAAGAACCUUACCAGGUCUUGACAUCCUUUGACCACUCUAGAGAUAGAGCUUCCCCUUCGGGGGCAAAGUGACAGGUGGUGCAUGGUUGUCGUCAGCUCGUGUCGUGAGAUGUUGGGUUAAGUCCCGCAACGAGCGCAACCCUUAUUGUUAGUUGCCAUCAUUUAGUUGGGCACUCUAGCGAGACUGCCGGUGACAAACCGGAGGAAGGUGGGGAUGACGUCAAAUCAUCAUGCCCCUUAUGACCUGGGCUACACACGUGCUACAAUGGGAAGUACAACGAGUUGCGAAGUCGCGAGGCUAAGCUAAUCUCUUAAAGCUUCUCUCAGUUCGGAUU